rnacentral:tRNA from 1 species
GGGCCUGUAGCUCAGUUGGCAGAGCAUCGGACUUUUAAUCCGCGGGUCGCGGGUUCGACCCCCGCCGGGCCCA